UCGAGGACGAACGCUGGCGGCGUGCCUAAUACAUGCAAGUCGAACGGUCUUUCUAUGGAAGCUUGCUUCCACUGAGAAGAUAGUGGCGAACGGGUGAGUAACACGUGGGUAACCUGCCCAUAAGAGGGGGAUAACAUCCGGAAACGGGUGCUAAUACCGCAUAGUUUUCUUGAUCGCAUGAUCGGGAAAGGAAAGACGGCCUUUGUGCUGUCGCUUAUGGAUGGACCCGCGGCGUAUUAGUUAGUUGGUGAGGUAACGGCUCACCAAGACGAUGAUACGUAGCCGACCUGAGAGGGUGAUCGGCCACAUUGGGACUGAGACACGGCCCAAACUCCUACGGGAGGCAGCAGUAGGGAAUCUUCCGCAAUGGACGAAAGUCUGACGGAGCAACGCCGCGUGAGUGAAGAAAAGGUUUUCGGAUCGUAAAACUCUGUUGUCAGAGAAGAACAAGUUGGAGAGUAACUGCUCCAGCCUUGACGGUAUCUGACCAGAAAGCCACGGCUAACUACGUGCCAGCAGCCGC
rnacentral:rRNA from 1 species